rnacentral:rRNA from 1 species
AGAGUUUGAUCCUGGCUCAGAUUGAACGCUGGCGGCAUGCCUUACACAUGCAAGUCGAACGGUAACAGGCCGCAAGGUGCUGACGAGUGGCGAACGGGUGAGUAACACAUCGGAACGUGCCUGAUAGUGGGGGAUAACUACUCGAAAGAGUGGCUAAUACCGCAUAAGAUCUCAGGAUGAAAGCAGGGGACCGCAAGGCCUUGCGCUAACAGAGCGGCCGAUGGCAGAUUAGGUAGUUGGUGGGAUAAAAGCUUACCAAGCCGACGAUCUGUAGCUGGUCUGAGAGGACGACCAGCCACACUGGGACUGAGACACGGCCCAGACUCCUACGGGAGGCAGCAGUGGGGAAUUUUGGACAAUGGGCGCAAGCCUGAUCCAGCAAUGCCGCGUGCAGGAUGAAGGCCUUCGGGUUGUAAACUGCUUUUGUACGGAACGAAAAGCUUCUCUCUAAUACAGGGGGGCCAUGACGGUACCGUAAGAAUAAGCACCGGCUAACUACGUGCCAGCAGCCGCGGUAAUACGUAGGGUGCAAGCGUUAAUCGGAAUUACUGGGCGUAAAGCGUGCGCAGGCGGUGAUGUAAGACAGAGGUGAAAUCCCCGGGCUCAACCUGGGAACUGCCUUUGUGACUGCAUCGCUGGAGUGCGGCAGAGGGGGAUGGAAUUCCGCGUGUAGCAGUGAAAUGCGUAGAUAUGCGGAGGAACACCGAUGGCGAAGCAAUCCCCUGGGCCUGC